rnacentral:rRNA from 1 species
GACGAACGCUGGCGGCGUGCUUAACACAUGCAAGUCGAGCGGUAAGGCCCCUUCGGGGGUACACGAGCGGCGAACGGGUGAGUAACACGUGAGCAAUCUGCCCUUCACACGGGGAUAACUCCGGGAAACCGAAGCUAAUACCCGAUACGACCACCUCAGGCAUCUGAUGGUGGUGGAAAGUUCCGGCGGUGAAGGGAUGAGCUCGCGGCCUAUCAGCUUGUUGGUGGGGUAACGGCCCACCAAGGCAACGACGGGUAGCCGGCCUGAGAGGGUGACCGGCCACACUGGGACUGAGACACGGCCCAGACUCCUACGGGAGGCAGCAGUGGGGAAUAUUGGACAAUGGGCGAAAGCCUGAUCCAGCAACGCCGCGUGAGGGAUGACGGCCUUCGGGUUGUAAACCUCUUUCAGCAGGGACGAAGCGCAAGUGACGGUACCUGCAGAAGAAGCACCGGCCAACUACGUGCCAGCCGCCGCCGUAAGAC